rnacentral:lncRNA from 1 species
ACAGUAUUAAUGACUUUAUAUUAGAUAUUCAUUUUUCAUUUCCAAAGCAAUCAGCAGUAACUGCUGUAAUUAAAUGCUCUAAUCUUUAAGGUUAUUAAGUGUGAAAUUAAGUUGAAGUCAUCCAAGGGACAGUAGGUGAACAUUGUUUUAGAGAAUGAAUGUUUAUGAGUUUUUUUUUUUAAAGAGAUACAUGUCAUACAUAUACUACGUAGAUCUUUUUCUGCUAUACUCUUUACUUGUUCCCCAAAGCAGCACCUCCAACACUCCACA